rnacentral:snoRNA from 1 species
AGGCCAUGAUGUGGACACUUGCGUAAUAGUUCCUUGAACCUUUCCCAAUUUUCAUAUAAGGAUUCCCCAUCCUCUUGUGAAUAUGUAAUAAUCUCAGUCAUUAAUUU